CCUCCGUAAUGUGAAAAAGUAUGGGGAAAAGAACCCAGCUAAAUCUCCCACCGAUAGGGAGUUUGGACUAUCUUUUCUAUACCAUA
rfam:Kamiti River virus, complete genome